rnacentral:tRNA from 1 species
UGGCUUAGCAGGUAGAGCUCAUGCUUUUCAUGCAUGAGGCCUUGGGUUCAAUCCCCAC